CAGCCGCCGCGGUAAUACGAAGGGGGCUAGCGUUGCUCGGAAUUACUGGGCGUAAAGGGAGCGUAGGCGGCGUGGUAAGUCAGAUGUGAAAUCCCGGGGCUCAACCCCGGAACUGCAUCCGAUACUGCCAUGCUAGAGGAUUGGAGAGGUAGCUGGAAUUCUUGGUGUAGCAGUGAAAUGCGUGGAGAUCAAGAGGAACACUCGUGGCGAAAGCGAGCUACUGGACAAUAACUGAUGCUGAGGCUCGAAGGCCAGGGUAGCGAAAGGGAUUAGAUACCCCAGUAGUCCCUGUCUCUUAUAC
rnacentral:rRNA from 1 species